rnacentral:misc_RNA from 1 species
GAUGAAGAACGUAGCGAAAUGCGAUAAGUAAUGUGAAUUGCUGAAUUCAGUGAAUCAUCGAAUCUUUGAACGCACAUUGCGCCCCUUGGUAUUCCGAGGGGCAUGCCUGUUCGAGCGUCAUUUUGACCACUCCCGCUUGCGGGGUCUUGGGCCUUCGCCUCUGGGCGGGCCUUAAAAUCAGUGGCGGUGCCGUCCGGCUCUAAGCGUAGUAAAUCUCCUCGCUAUAGGGUUCCGGAGGGAUGCUGGCCAACAACCCCCAACUUUUAAGGUUGACCUCGGAUCAGGUAGGGAUACCCGCUGAACUUAAGCAUAUCAAUAAGCGGAGGA